UGAAUGUCAGUUUGUAAUUUGUGGAGUUUAAGGUAUACUAAGGUUGCUUCUGGAUGUCCUAGUUUAUUGAAGUGUAAGAUUGCUUCGUGAAUAUCCUACUUUACUAGAGUGCAACUGUACAGGGUUGCUUUCUAAGUGUCGUCUCUAAUUUGUGGUGUGUCACAAACUCACAAGAAAUUAAGCUAAGAAAUUGACUAAAACACUAACUUUUAUAUAACAUAUGACAUCUUUCAUGUUCAUUAGAUAGUUUGUCACAUGAAAAGGGCAAGCGUCACAUAAGCUCCAAAGAAUAGACAUCAUCAUUCCCCUAAAACAUUUUUUGUGGAAUUGAUGUUAAUUUGAUGAAAUUAAAAGAUAAAUCCUUUGCUAAACCUUAACAUUGGUUUAUCGAUUUAAUAUCAGGUUUGCUUUUGACUGCUACCUUUCGCCUGACAUCUGAUUCAUUCUCUUCAUCUUUGAGGUCUAGGAUCUAUUUGAAGAUUAUGGUGGUGGAAGAAAAGAAUCAAGGGAUGAUGCAUAGCUCCUUCAACUAUGAAGCUCAUAUUCUUGAAGUUAUAGGCUUUGAGUGACCUUUGUUUUGAAAUUUUAGAAAAAUAAGUUGGAAUUAAAUAGUAAACGUGAUUUUUUGGUAAUAAAUUUGUGUUUUGGAGAUACUAGCUAAUUAAAUAGUCUUGAUAAUGUGUAAAUAUAAUUCGGUGAUAUGUUUUGAAGCGAAUACGUAUUAUUAUAUAAAAUUAAUAU